CUUAGAGUUACACUUUAUUUUGAUGGUCCACUUUAGACAUUCUGCAACUACAUGUCAACUAGCAGUCAUUAGAGUAUUAGUAGACUCACUGUUAGGUUAUGGUAAGCAGAAUAAUUUGUCAUACAGUAUAGUUGCAAAUAAGCGGACUAUUGAAAUAAAGUGUUUAACAGGGGAAUGUUGGUGUUAAUCACUAUCAGGGCUAAAACAAUUUCACCAGAGAACUUUGUCAAGCCCAUAUGGGACAAUGUUUCACAAUGGUUUCGGUAGAGCGCUUUUCCAUGACCCCGUGUGGCAUAUUGCGUUUGUUGUGUCAACCUGCAGCUCUAACGCACAAUCUUUACUUUCACUGGCCAUUUUGUGCUUAGACGUUCGUGUUACUCUUUUGUACGUCUCUGCUUUCUUCUGCUGUUUAUAGGCGAGUGUAUAAUGAGAGGAUGAGAAGUGCAGCGCAUGAAUGUAGGUGUCUUCCCAGGAAAAAAGACGAGUGGAAAAUUCUGUUCAUGGACAAAGUGGGCAGACAGAGGCGGGGGGCGAUGUCUGGUAACCUGAACCCUGGAGACACAAUCUUAGUGUCUGCGGCUGACAUUUCCCUCCUCGCUCACAGCUGCGUGCCUGAGAGAGCGAGCCGCUCUUACAGACUCUACAUAGUGCUUCUUACGCAUUGAUGAGCAGAAGAGUACACUUACAACGCUGACAUCCAUAUUGUGGAAAUAAAGAGAAGGAAGAAAGACUGGAAUCUCUCAGUUUUAGGUUUGUGUGUGUGUGUGUGUCAUUCAAAAGCUUGUGGUCAGUAAGGUUUUUUUCUGUUUUGAAAGAAAUUAAUACUUGAACUUUCUGUUGUAUCAAAGGAUCCUGAAAAAUAAAAUAUAUAAUGGUUUCCACAAAAA